GUGGGCUCUGCGUGUGGUUUAUUUGAGUUCCAUUUUUACAGCCUUAUUACCUUGUCCCCAUGAUGUAAGAAGCCUCUCUCGCUCCUCGGCUUUGCUGCGAAAAUUGUUUCUUAAAAGGCACAGAGUGUCUCUCCUCGUCUGGGUGGUGCUCUCUCUGCGGCAGCUCUUUUCUGCAGACUUCACACACACUUCCUAUCACCCCUGCCACCACUUGUCGAGCUUCUCUGAUCACUUGCAAUUUACUGGGACCUUCUAGGCAGCUCUUGAAUCUCACUGCCUAAAGGUUGGCCGAUUUCUGCCAGAAGGGUUUGUACAUGUAAAUAUCCAUUCAGCAGCUUCCUCUCUGAAGUGUCACCCUACCAGUGACCCUGCUGGGGGCUCAAAGUUAGUCUGACCCACUGGCCUUGUGUUGAUAACAAUAAUAAUUAACAUUGAGGGAGCCUGAGCUUCCUAAAUUAGGCUCUAUUAAAAUUACUCCAGCACUGGGUUGUGGUUGAAGGGACUGGAGGGGGCAAAAAGGAGAGGGACUAGGGGAAGCUAUGGUUGGAGCUCUGAGGAGAGCUAAUGAGAGGCCGGAGUGGUUUUAUUUGUACUUAACCUCAGGCUGGCUGUAUUUUUGGUAACUGGAAUUAAAUGAUGGUACACUCCACACACACCUUAUGACUUCUUGUGGUGCUCUAACUGGAAAGGAAAGUGUACUGAUUGUGUUUCCCUCCCUGUAAAGAGUUUCCUUUCUAUGAAAAAUCAGAUAGUAGGAGAUGGUGUCAGGACUGCCAGCUGAGAAAAGAGGAUGGGAGGAGGAUAGUGGCCUCAGACCCUCCCACCCCGCAGCCUGGCCCCCGGCCUGUAGGUGUAACUUGGGAAACGUCCAACUCUGCAUCAUCCCUACGAGAGAGUCAAGCAAAGAAAUGACAUGAUGUGGUUCAUGUAGGAACAGAUUUCUUCCUCUACUGAGAACAGACCAUGGGUGGAGGCGACUGGAAGAAUGUUGUCUUAAACUGAGAUGGUGAGACUCUGGGGGUGCCGAGAGGAGCAUGGCCUGCACAGAGCUUCUGUCUGAGUGAUUCUGACUUGACACUGGCUGUUGGAUCUGCCAGUCAGGAGUUCGGGGGAGAGGUCCAGGCUCGGAGAGAAAUCUGGGGGAGCACCAUCAGCCCUGAACCCGUGGACUAGGUGAGACCACUGAGGGAGUGGCAGCAGAGCGUAGAUCAGGGUGAGGCCUGCUCUCCACAUUAGAGGGGGCGAGAUAAGGAAGAAGUGAGGAGGAGGAGUAGCCAGGGAAGCGG
rnacentral:lncRNA from 1 species